rnacentral:rRNA from 1 species
GAUGAACGCUAGCUACAGGCUUAACACAUGCAAGUCGAGGGGAAACGAUAUUGGAAGCUUGCUUCCGAUAGGCGUCGACCGGCGCACGGGUGAGUAACGCGUAUCCAACCUGCCCAUCACUUGGGGAUAACCUUGCGAAAGUAAGACUAAUACCCAAUGACGUCUCUAGAAGACAUCUGAAGGAGAUUAAAGAUUUAUCGGUGAUGGAUGGGGAUGCGUCUGAUUAGCUUGUUGGCGGGGUAACGGCCCACCAAGGCGACGAUCAGUCGGGGUUCUGAGAGGAAGGUCCCCCACAUUGGAACUGAGACACGGUCCAAACUCCUACGGGAGGCAGCAGUGAGGAAUAUUGGUCAAUGGGCGAGAGCCUGAACCAGCCAAGUAGCGUGCAGGAAGACGGCCCUAUGGGUUGUAAACUGCUUUUAUAAGGGAAUAAAGUGAGUCUCGUGAGACUUUUUGCAUGUACCUUAUGAAUAAGGACCGGCUAAUUCCGUGCCAGCCGCCGCGGUAA